rnacentral:rRNA from 1 species
UAAUACGUAGGGUGCAAGCGUUAAUCGGAAUUACUGGGCGUAAAGCGUACGCAGGCGGCUAUGUAAGACAGGUGUGAAAUCCCCGGGCCUAACCUGGGAACUGCAUUUGUGACUGCAUAGCUAGAGUCCGUCAGAGGGGGGUGGAAUUCCACGUGUAGCAGUGAAAUGCGUAGAGAUGUGGAGGAACACCGAUGGCGAAGGCAGCCCCCUGGGAUGAGACUGACGCUCAUGUACGAAAGCGUGGGGAGCAAACAGGAUUAGAUACCCUGGUAGUCCACGCCCUAAACGAUGUCGACUAGUUGUCGGGGAUUUACAUCCUCGGUAACGCAGCUAACGCGUGAAGUCGACCGCCUGGGGAGUACGGUCGCAAGAUUA